GAGUCUGCACCAUGGCCUGGACCACACUCCUCCUCCUCACUCUCCUCCUCCACUGCACAGGGUCUCUCUCCCAGCCUGUGCUGACUCAAUCAUCCUCUGCCUCUGCUUCCCUGGGAUCCUCGGUCAAGCUCACCUGCACUCUGAGUAGUGGGCACAGUAGCUACGCCAUCGCAUGGCAUCAGCAGCAGCCAGGGAAGGCCCCUCGGUACUUGAUGAGGCUUGAAGGUAGUGGAAGCUACAACAAGGGGAGCGGAAUUCCUGAUCGCUUCUCAGGCUCCAGCUCUGGGGCUGACCGCUACCUCACCAUCUCCAACCUCCAGUCUGAGGAUGAGGCUGAUUAUUACUGUCAGACCUGGGAUAGCAACACUCACACAGUGAUACAGGCAGAUGAGGAAGUGGGACAAAAACAGCCUGCUUAG